CCGAGCUCGGCAGCCAAUGGCUCUCCCUGACCCUGGAGGCGCGAGCGCCGGGGAGGGGCCGAAGCCUGCGCGGUGACGCAGGCGCGCUCCCGGCAGGUCCCGACUGCUUAGGAGAGAGAGAAAAAGGAAGCGGGCGGGCGCAGCAGGUCCUUAAAGGGGCCGUGUGCCCGGCUUCCAGGGCGACGCGGAGCGGGCCCGAGGGGUGCGAGCUCGGUCUCCAUGCCGCGGUAGCCUAGGAGUUUGCGAUCCCCAGUCCUUACCAUCGCGACGGGAUGGCCCGGGUGGGAGCCGGUGCACGUUUCUCCCGGGGGCGCCGGAGACUACCCCACCCCCGCCCCCGCUUCCCACGUGCUACCCUGAGGGGUCGAGGGGCGGGGGGUCCCCCGGGGCCGGGGGCCGGCCGGGGCUUUUCCUGGUGCUGAGGUGGGGGGUCGGCGGCGUGGAAAGGGGCGGUCCCCGGAGGAGCGUGUGCAGCCGCGGGAGGGGCGGCACGACCCGGCCCCGGGAACCUGCCGGCCCGCCGGGCCCUGGUCCCCCGCCCUGUGGUCGGACGCCGCGCAGGUGCCCGCACCCCUAGUGGAGGCGCUGGCCUGGGCCCCUGCCGGGCUCCGUCCUUCCCCAGGACACCCCUCGCCCCUGUCCCUGAGCAGUGCAGGCUGCGGCUGGCCUCGCCGGGGCCCCUCACUCAGUCUGGGAACACCUCGGGUUUGCGACUCGCUCCUCGUGCGGCCCGAGCCCGGAGCCGCCGGGCCUGUGCGCACCUGGGGUUCCGCGGGCUCCGCGGCUGUGGGCUCGGGGGCCAGCGGGCCGACCAGGGCCCUGGGGGUCUGCUCCUGACACGUUCCCGGCCCUGGUGAGCUGCUUCCUCCUCACCUGUGCGGCCUGCUGCACCCCAGGGUCCUCUAGGGGCCAGGCUGGUGGCCUCACUCGCCCCUGCUUAGAGCCUGAGCGCUGUGUGUCCUCCACUCCAGGGCUGAGGGGCCAUCACCCCUUUUGGCUCCUGUCUCGCCCUUUCUUCAGGAAGGCCUGCCUCACCCCAGGCUCUCCGGUGGUUGCAGAACGGGAGGAAAGCACCAAAGACAGGGCCCACUGGAACAGGACCGUCUGGACCUGAAGGCCCACAGCAGUGGGGCUCUCAGUGGCAAAGGUGGGAACGGCUCAGAUGUCCAUCAGUAGACGGUAGGGUCUGUCCUUCACACCACAACGUGGAUGAACCUUAAAAGCAGGGCACUGAAAGAAGCCAGACAAAAGGGCCAAAUAUUGUAAUGCCACCUGCGUAAAACGUCCAGAAAGGGCAGAUGCGUGGAGACGGGGGCGUGUGACUGUUACAAAACACUGAGUUGUAUGUUUUCAAACGGUGGCAUUUAUGGUACAUGAAUUCUCUCAAAAAAGCGGCUGUCGGAAGAGAAAAGGAAAGCGGAAAGCACGCCGGCCCUCGCGGGGCGCCUGACCCCAGCCCGCGGUCCACUCUGAGCGAGCCUCCCUCCGUCUCUGCUGUGGUUUGGUGUUCCUGCACCACUGGACUGUUCUCAAUGGCAGGAGAGCAGUUUCUCCUGUCCUAACCAAAGCCUUGUGUGCAUGCCGCCCCUCCCCCAGCCGUUCCGGGUUUGGUGCUCUCUUGCAGCAGGACUCCUGGAGACAGCUAUCUGUGCUUUGCGUUGUGCCCCAUCCUCUUCCUGUGACACCCACGUCCACCCCAGUGCCCUGUGAUGUUUGCACGGCCCGGUCCCGUCUCCUGCCCACCGCCCUCGUCUUAGCCGAUAGGGUGUCAGUCCUUCUGCUUCCGCGGCCCGGCAGCCGCCUCCUGUCCCCCCACUUCUGUCCUCACACCCCUCGAGUCCACUCACCUCGCCCAGCCAGGGUGGAACUCCGUGCUGCCCCCAGCUGGCUGCUUUGCUCCAGGGGGCCGGCUUCUGGGGGGCCAGCCCCUCUGCCUGGAAGGCCGCUCCCAGCCGGGCAGGGCCCUCGCUGGCUGUGUAACAAGCCUCCUCCUGCCAUUUCCUCAGGCAACUCUGCUUUAGCAGCACUCAAAGCACUGAGACUUCCUGUCACACGAGGUUUGUAAUCUUAGUACCUUCUUUGCUCUGCUCUGAAAACAUGCUCCACAAGAACAGGCAUCUUUGUUUUGUUUCACGAUAUCGGGCACACCACAGGCGCCAGUAUUGAAUGCCGAGUACAUAGAAUUAGCUCGUGAAUAUGUUGAGGCCUGGAAGAUGUUGUAGAACCAACUGGGACUUUCAGAGAUGAACCCCAGCAGAAGGAACACGAGCCCAUCCGAGGCCGUCACGAUCAAAGUGUGGGAAGGCAGUGACGAACGGGAGUGGAAGAGAAGGGGCCUCAUACGAAGUUGCAAAGAGCAAGCAGCAGGGUUCUUGGCCAGAACACCACAGGCAUGAAGAGAAUGGCACGAAACCUAGAGUUAAAAGGAAAACCGUCAACCCAGAAUUGUGCGUGCCACGAAGUACCCCCCCGAACUUGAACUAAGCUGAAAUAGAGCACUUUCAGACAAAGAAAGGCUGAGUGAAUUCCUCGUCCGCAGGUCGACUGAGGCGACGUCGGUACAGUAAGCUCUUCAGAUGAAAGGCAAACGCAGAUGCCAACCUACGUGUACAAAAGCUGGGGGGAGCACUGGGAUCGGCAAAUAUGGGUAAAUAGAAGAUCUGUCUCGUUCUAGAUUUCUUUUCUAAAUCACUGGCUGCUCAUUGAAAGCGUAACAGUGCAUCAUAGGGUGCAGAAUGUCCGUAGAGGGAAAAUAUGCCAUAGUUGGGGCAAAGGACAGAGGAGGGAGAAAGGCAGUCCGUUUCUCAGAUCCUUGUGUUUACAGGAAGUUAUACAGUAUUUGAAGGCCCUUGUGGGAAGUUCAAGAUGUUCACUGAACUACAGAGGUGUAGCUAAAAAG